rnacentral:rRNA from 1 species
UGUAAGCGUAUACCAAAGUUGUUGCAGUUAAAACGCUCGUAGUCGGAAUUUGGCAGUUCCGGAUGUGUGCACGUCGUGUGCGCACUUCGCGGGGAUUGAUUUUGUGGUCUUGCGUAGGAUGAGGCACUUUUAUUAGUGAACGUCCUCACGCAACCACUUUUUACUGUGAGAAAAUCAGAGUGCUCAAAGCAGGCAUUUGCCGUGAAUGUAUUAGCAUGGAAUAAUAGAAUAGGACUUGGUUCUAUUUUGUUGGUUUGUUGGGACUGAGUAAUGAUUAAGAGGGACAGUUGGGGGCAUUUGUAUUUCGGUGCUAGAGGUGAAAUUCUUAGAUUACCGAAAGACAAACUGCUGCGAAAGCGUCUGCCAAGGAUGUUUUCAUUGA